GCAGGCUGAAACUACGCCUGUAUGAAGAUGGAGUUGCUAGUAAUCGCGAAUCAGAAUGUCGCGGUGAAUACGUUCCCGGGUCUUGUACACACCGCCCGUCACACCAUGAGAGUUGGCAACACCCGAAACCUGUGGGCUAACCGAAAGGAGGCAGCAGUCUAAGGUGGGGUCAGUGAUUGGGGUGAAGUCGUAACAAGGUAAC
rnacentral:rRNA from 1 species